CCCACUGCCGCCUCCGCACCGCGGCCCCGGAGGGUGCGGCACUGCCCCAUAGCGACCGCACUGCCCCAUAGAGACGGCACGGCCCCAUAGCGCACGGCACGGCCCCAUAGCGUACGGCAGUGCCCCAUAGCGCACUGCCCCAUAGCGACCGCACGGCCCCAUAAAGGCGGCACUGCCCCAUAGCGACCGCACUGCCCCAUAGAGACGGCACGGCCCCAUAAAGGCGGCACUGCCCCAUAGCGACCGCACGGCCCCAUAGAGACGGCACAGCCCCAUAAAGGCGGCACUGCCCCAUAGCGACCGCACGGCCCCAUAGAGACGGCACGGCCCCAUAAAGGCGGCACUGCCCCAUACCGACCGCACGGCCCCAUAGCGACCGCACGGCCCCAUAGCGUACAGCAGUGCCCCACAGCGCACUGCCCCAUAGCGCACGGCACUGCCCCAUAGCGUAUGGCAGUGUCCCACAGCGCACGGCCCCAUAGAGACGGCUCUGCCCCAUAGAAACGGCAGUGCCCCAUAGCACACAGCACCGCCCCAUAGAGACGGCACUGCCCCAUAGCGACCGCACGGCCCCAUAGCGUACGGCAGUGCCCCACAGCGCACUGCCCCAUAGCGCACAGCACUGCCCCAUAGCGACCGCACGGCCCCCAUAGCGUACGGCAGUGCCCCACAGCGCACUGCCCCAUAGCGCACAGCACUGCCCCAUAGCGACCGCACGGCCCCAUAGAAACGGCACUGCCCCAUAGCGACCGCACGGCCCCAUAGCGUAUGGCAGUGCCCCACAGCGCACUGCCCCAUAGAGACGGCUCUGCCCCAUAGAAACGGCAGUGCCCCAUAGCACACAGCACCGCCCCAUAGAGACGGCACUGCCCCAUAGCACACAGCACGGCCCCAUAGCGACCGCACGGCCCCAUAGAGACGGAACGGCCCCAUAGCGACCGCACGGCCCCAUAGCGACCGCACGGCCCCAUAGCGUACAGCAGUGCCCCACAGCGCACUGCCCCAUAGCGCACGGCACUGCCCCAUAGCGUAUGGCAGUGUCCCACAGCGCACGGCCCCAUAGAGACGGCUCUGCCCCAUAGAAACGGCAGUGCCCCAUAGCACACAGCACCGCCCCAUAGAGACGGCACUGCCCCCAUAGCGACCGCACGGCCCCAUAGCGUACGGCAGUGCCCCACAGCGCACUGCCCCAUAGCGCACAGCACUGCCCCAUAGCGACCGCACGGCCCCAUAGCGUACGGCAGUGCCCCACAGCGCACUGCCCCAUAGCGCACAGCACUGCCCCAUAGCGACCGCACGGCCCCAUAGAAACGGCACUGCCCCAUAGCGACCGCACGGCCCCAUAGCGUAUGGCAGUGCCCCACAGCGCACUGCCCCAUAGAGACGGCUCUGCCCCAUAGAAACGGCAGUGCCCCAUAGCACACAGCACCGCCCCAUAGAGACGGCACUGCCCCAUAGCACACAGCACGGCCCCAUAGCGACCGCACGGCCCCAUAGAGACGGAACGGCCCCAUAGCGACCGCACGGCCCCAUAGCGUACGGCAGUGCCCCACAGUGCACUGCCCCAUAGCGCACGGCACUGCCCCAUAGCGACCGCACGGCCCCAUAGCGUACAGCAGUGCCCCACAGCGCACUGCCCCAUAGAGACGGCACUGCCCCAUAGAAACGGCAGUGCCCCAUAGCGCACAGCACGGCCCCAUAGCGACCACACUGCCCCAUAGCGCAGAGCACAACCCCAUGGAGAUGGCACUGCCCCAUAGCGUACGGCAGUGCCCCAUCGCGCACGGCACUGCCCCAUAUAGAAGGCAUUGUGCCAUAGCACACGGCACUGCCCCAUAGCGCACUGCCCCAUAGAGACGGCACUGCCCCAUAGCACACAGCACGGCCCCAUAGCGACCGCACGGCCCCAUAGCGUACGGCAGUGCCCCACAGCGCACUGCCCCAUAGAGACGGCACUGCCCCAUAGCAUAUGGCACUGCCCCAUAGCACACAGCACGACCCCAUAGAGACGGCACUGCCCCAUAGCGCACGGCACUGCCCCAUAGCGCACGGCACGGCCCCAUAAAGGCGGCACUGCCCCAUAGCGACCGCACGGCCCCAUAGAGACGGCACUGCCCCAUAGCGACCUCACGGCCCCAUAGCGUACGGCAGUGCCCCACAGCGCACUGCCCCAUAGCGCACAG
rnacentral:lncRNA from 1 species